AGAACGAACGCUGGCGGCAUGCCUAACACAUGCAAGUCGAACGAGACCUUCGGGUCUAGUGGCGCACGGGUGCGUAACGCGUGGGAAUCUGCCCUGGGGUACGGAAUAACUCAGAGAAAUUUGAGCUAAUACCGUAUGAUGACGUAAGUCCAAAGAUUUAUCGCCCUGGGAUGAGCCCGCGUAGGAUUAGCUUGUUGGUGAGGUAAAGGCUCACCAAGGCGACGAUCCUUAGCUGGUCUGAGAGGAUGAUCAGCCACACUGGGACUGAGACACGGCCCAGACUCCUACGGGAGGCAGCAGUGGGGAAUAUUGGACAAUGGGCGAAAGCCUGAUCCAGCAAUGCCGCGUGAGUGAUGAAGGCCCUAGGGUUGUAAAGCGUCUUUACCCGGGAAGAUAAUGACUGUACCGGGAGAAUAAGCCCGGCUAACCUCCGCGCCAGCAGCCGC
rnacentral:rRNA from 1 species